rnacentral:rRNA from 1 species
CAGCCGCCGCGGUAUACGGAGGAUCCAAGCGUUAUCCGGAAUCAUUGGGUUUAAAGGGUCCGUAGGCGGUUUAAUAAGUCAGUGGUGAAAGCCUAUCGCUUAACGAUAGAACGGCCAUUGAUACUGUUAGACUUGAAUUAGUGGGAAGUAACUAGAAUAUGUAGUGUAGCGGUGAAAUGCUUAGAUAUUACAUGGAAUACCAAUUGCGAAGGCAGGUUACUAUCACUAUAUUGACGCUGAUGGACGAAAGCGUGGGGAGCGAACAGGAUUAGAUACCCUGGUAGUCCACGCCGUAAACGAUGGAUACUAGCUGUUCGGAGCAAUCUGAGUGGCUAAGCGAAAGUGAUAAGUAUCCCACCUGGGGAGUACGUUCGCAAGAAUGAAACUCAAAGGAAUUGACGGGGGCCCGCACAAGCGGAGGAGCAUGUGGUUUAAUUCGAUGAUACGCGAGGAACCUUACCAGGGCUUAAAUGGGAGACGACAGGACUGGAAACAGUUUUUUCUUCGGACGUCUUUCAAGGUGCUGCAUGGUUGUCGUCAGCUCGUGCCGUGAGGUGUCAGGUUAAGUCCUAUAACGAGCGCAACCCCUAUUGUUAGUUGCCAGCGGGUCAUGCCGGGAACUCUAACAAGACUGCCGGUGCAAACCGUGAGGAAGGUGGGGAUGACGUCAAAUCAUCACGGCCCUUACGUCCUGGGCUACACACGUGCUACAAUGGGCGGUACAGAGAGCAGCCACUACGCAAGUAGGCGCGAAUCUUCAAAACCGUUCUCAGUUCGGAUCGGAGUCUGCAACUCGACUCCGUGAAGCUGGAUUCGCUAGUAAUCGCAUAUCAGCCAUGAUGCGGUACUACGGUCCCGGGCCUGCACUCACCGC